AAAUGAUGCUCCCAUUAUGCUUUGCACGCUUAGAGUUUAAAAACUCUAAGCGUGCAAAGCAUAAUGAGAUCCGGAGCAUCAUUUAAUCAGUUUAG